GUCUAUCAGCCAUGCUACCCUGAACAAGCCCGAUCCCGUCUGAUCUCGGAAGCUAAGCAGGGUCGGGCCUGGUUAGUACUUGAAUGGGAGACCACCUAGGAAGACCAAGUGCUCUAGGUG
rnacentral:rRNA from 1 species